GCUUGCGGCAGGCCUAACACAUGCAAGUCGAGCGGCAGCGGAAAAGUAGCUUGCUACUUUUGCCGGCGAGCGGCAGACGGGUGAGUAGUGCCUGGGAAAUUGCCCAGUCGAGGGAGAUAACUAGUUGGAAACGACUGCUAAUACCGCAUACGCCCUACGGGAGAAAGCAGGGGACCCUCGGCUCUUGCGCGAUUGGAUAAGCCCAUGUGGGAUUAUCUAGGUGGAGAGGUAAUGUCUCACCAGGCUAUCCAUAUGUGCUCAGAGAAGAUGAUCAGCCACACUGUGAAAGUGACACGCGCUCCACUCCCCUAGGGGACGCCGCAGUGGAGUAUAGUGCACAGUGGGCGAAACCGUGAUGCACCCGUGCCGCGUGUGAGAAAAACCCCCUCGGUUUGUAGAGCUUUCUCAGCCGAAGAAGAAAGUUCAGUAUAUAAUACCUGCUGUCUGACACUUUACUCGCAAAAAAAAACACCCGAUAUCUCCGUGCCAGCAGCCGCGAUAAUACAGAGGGCGAAAGCGUUAAUCGGAAUUACUGGGCGUAAAGCGCACGCAGGCGGUUGGAUAAGUUAGAUGUGAAAGCCCCGGGCUCAACCUGGGAAUUGCAUUUAAAACUGUCCAGCUAGAGUCUUGUAGAGGGGGG
rnacentral:rRNA from 1 species